rnacentral:rRNA from 1 species
GAUGAACGCUGGCGGCGUGCCUAAUACAUGCAAGUCGAACGCACAGCGAAAGGUGCUUGCACCUUUCAAGCGAGUGGCGAACGGGUGAGUAACACGUGGAUAACCUGCCUCAAGGCUGGGGAUAACAUUUGGAAACAGAUGCUAAUACCGAAUAAAACUUAGUAUCGCAUGAUACAAAGUUAAAAGGCGCUACGGCGUCACCUAGAGAUGGAACCGCGGUGCAUUAGUUAGUUGGUGGGGUAAAGGCUUACCAAGACGAUGAUGCAUAGCCGAGUUGAGAGACUGAUCGGCCACAUUGGGACUGGGACACGGCCCAAACUCCUACGGGAGGCUGCAGUAGGGAAUCUUCCACAAUGGGCGCAAGCCUGAUGGAGCAACGCCGCGUGUGUGAUGAAGGCUUUCGGGUCGUAAAGCACUGUUGUAUGGGAAGAAAUGCUAAAAUAGGGAAUGAUUUUAGUUUGACGGUACCAUACCAGAAAGGGACGGCUAAAUACGUGCCAGCCGCCGCAGUAA